rnacentral:rRNA from 1 species
UGGGGAAUAUUGCACAAUGGGGGAAACCCUGAUGCAGCGACGCCGCGUGAGUGAAGAAGUAAUUCGUUAUGUAAAGCUCUAUCAGCAGGGAAGAAAGAAAUGACGGUACCUGAAUAAGAAGCCCCGGCUAACUACGUGCCAGCAGCCGCGGUAAUACGUAGGGGGCAAGCGUUAUCCGGAUUUACUGGGUGUAAAGGGAGCGUAGACGGCCGGGCAAGUCUGGAGUGAAAGGCGGGGGCCCAACCCCCGGACUGCUCUGGAAACUGUCCGGCUGGAGUGCAGGAGAGGUAAGUGGAAUUCCUAGUGUAGCGGUGAAAUGCGUAGAUAUUAGGAGGAACACCAGUGGCGAAGGCGGCUUACUGGACCGUAACUGACGUUGAGGCUCGAAAGCGUGGGGAGCAAACAGG